rnacentral:misc_RNA from 1 species
UCCCGGUUAACCCGGGCAGUCUCACUAGAGUUCCCACCAUUACGUGCUGGCAACUAGUGAUAAGGGUUGCGCUCGUUGCGGGACUUAACCCAACACCUCACGGCACGAGCUGACGACAGCCAUGCAGCACCUGUACAGAGACCCUCGCGGGCUAGCAUAUUUCUACACUAUUCCUCUGUAUGUCAAGUCUGGGUAAGGUUCUUCGCGUUGCAUCGAAUUAAACCACAUGCUCCACUGCUUGUGCGGGUCCCCGUCAAUUCUUUUGAGUUUCACCCUUGCGAGCGUACUCCCCAGGCGGUAUACUUAUCGCGUUAGCUACGGCACAGCCAGGGUUGACUCCGGCUACACCAAGUAUACAUAGUUUACAGCAAGGACUAC